GAUGAACGCUGGCGGCGUGCCUAACACAUGCAAGUCGAGCGAACGGACGAGAAGCUUUCUUCCCUGAUGUUAGCGGCGGACGGGUGAGUAACAUGUGGAUAACCUACCUAUCAGACUGGGAUAAUUUCGGGAAAUAGUAGCUUAUACCGGAUAAUAUUUUGCACCGCAUUGUUCAAAAGUUAAAGUCGGUCUUGCUGUCACUUAUAGACUGAUCCGCGCUGCAUUAGCUAGUUGGUAAGGUGACGGCUUACCAAGGCAAGGAUGCAUACACGACCUCAGAGGGUGAUCGGCCAGACUGGAACUGAGAAAGGGUCCAGACUCCUGCGGGAGGCAGCAGUAGGGAAUCCUCCGCAAUGGGGGAAAGCCUGACAGAGCAACGCCGGGUAAGUGAUGAUGGUCUUAUGCUCGUAAAACUCUGAUAUUAGGGAGGAAGAAAUGUGUAAGUAACUGUGAACAUCUUGACGGUACCUGAUGAAAAAGCCACGGCUAACUACGUG
rnacentral:rRNA from 1 species